UUAUCGCUUGGAAAAAACAUGAGCUCUGGCUCCCCGAGAGAGGAGGAGUUUGGUGAGGAAGAAGAUCGAGGAGAGCCUCGUGGGGAGGUAGGAAGGAAAUGGCGGCAGCGACCUCACUGCCUUGCUCCUCCUCCACCAUUCCUCCCAGCCUCCCUUCUCCUUCCUCCUCCCGACCUCUCUUCUUCCUCCUCUCUAAUCCACAGAGGCCAUCUCGUCUCCAGUUGCUGCACAUCCACCCGCGCCAUCGCCGACCCUCCAUCCGUUGUUGUUCCUCCGCAUCCUCCUCCUCCUCUUCGUACAACGGCUGGGCCGACCUCCCCGCCGCCGCCCCCGACGACAUCCUCCCCUUCUUCCGCGUCCCGCAAUCCAUCGCCGCAGCGCCGCUUCCUAUCCUCCUUCUCCUCGUCCCCGCCGCCGCGCUCUCCCUCUCCCGCCUCCCGCCGCUCCCGCUCCUCGCCGCCGCCUUCGCCGCCGGAUUCGCCACCGCCAGGCACCUCGCCCCCGGCGCUUCCUCCUCCCACGCCCACGCCCAGCGCCGCCUCGCCUCUCUCCUCGCGGAUCUCGACGCCCGCCUCCUCUCCCUGAAGAAAACCCACUCGCCCUCCCCCGCCGACGAUGGCUUCCUCCAGGCCGUCGACCGCGCGCGCGAUGCGGUGCGGGACUACGCGGCCGCGGUGGCCGGCCAGGGCAGCACAGCCGCGCCGGACGAAGGGACGCUGGGCGAGUUGGCCAGGGAGGUCGCCGGCUAUUUCGGCGCCUGGGUCCGGGACACCCUCCGGGAGCUCAGAUUCACCUCGCCGCGGAAGAAGCCCUCCGUCAAGGUCGCCGCCGCCGCCGCCGCCGCUGCAGUAGAUGCUGAUUCAGACGCUGGGUUUGAUCUAAAAAAUUCAGACGCUGGGUUAGUGAACAGUGGGAGCAGAGACACUCAAGCUCAAAAAGCGAAUGGGGAUGAUUCAUCAUCGAUCCGUCCCACCGGAAGUGCUGCAAGGCCUCUCGACAUGCUGCCGUUUGACGCCAAGGAUGCCGAUGACCUGGAAGAUGCAGGGUUCAGUUCUCAGAGUGGUCAGGCUGAAGAUGAUGACCGAUUGGAGAGGCUCGUGUUCAAGCACAGGUACGGGCGCGGCAGCGGUGCGCAGGACAACGGUCGAUUUCAAGGCCGUAGGUUUGCCACUGAGUCGUCUCUGCUGGAGAGGACGCUCGAGAUCCGCGACAGGUCGUACAGGUUGAAGAUUGAGCGUCGCAGCGAUAGUGAUAGCCGAGUACAUGAGAGGUCAGCCGAUGAAUUCAGGAGUAAUGCUGCAAGUGUUGAUGAAACUACAGAUGAUGAGGGUGCUGCUGCCGUGGAUUCGGAUGGUGAAGAAUUCAGCCGCAAUAUUAAGGAGGCCGCGGAGGUCUUGAGGAAGGCGAGGGAGUGCAUGAUGGCCAGGGCUGAUGAAGAGACUGCAGAUGCGUUGCUGUAUAAAUCAGCAAGCCUUCUUUCUACUGCUGUAGCUUUGAGGCCAACAAGUUUGGUUGCAGUGGGUCAGCUAGGGAACACUUACCUCCUCCAUGGGGAGCUCAAGCUCAAGAUUAGCCGCGAGCUGAGGACGCUGUUGGCCAACAGCGGGGCUUAUCUAAAUGGGAGAGAGCGUGUCUCACGGUCCAGGAAGCUGGAUAGAAGAAUCGUAACCAGAGAGAACAUUUCGUCCGCACUAGUGGAUGUUUGUGAGGAGUGUGAGAGCCUGCUUGUUGAUGCUGGGAGAAGCUACAGGACGGCUGUGUCAAUUGAUUCGGGUGACGUCAAAGCAUUAUACAAUUGGGGACUGGCUCUUAUCUUCCGUGCCCAACUACUUGCCGACAUCGGACCGGAAGCGGCAGUUGAUGCUGAUCGGGUGUACUUGGCUGCAAUCGAUAAGUUUGAUGCCAUGUUAUCGAAAAGCAACACUUAUGCUCCAGAAGCUCUGUACCGAUGGGGCAGCGCGCUGCAGCAGCGAUCCCAACUGCGUUCUGGGAAGAACAAGGAGAAGAUCAGGCUUCUGGAGCAGGCAAAGAGCUUGUUUGAAGAUGUUCUGUAUGUGGAGGCGGAUAACAAGAUGGUAAGGGAAGCACUGUCGUCGUGCAUAUCAGAGCUCAACUACCAUGGGAGAUGGCUGUAGCUAGCCAAUUGGUCUUGGAAUGGCGAAACAGAGCCUUGUGUAUAAGGAUUCUGAUUCAAGAUACCUCGCAGAUGUUUGGAUUUACGGACACAGAAUAGAAGACAAUCGUCGGCUGAGAUGGAGAAGUUGAAAGAAUGGUUGGAUAAAGCUGUUAGGGAAGAUGAUGAGUGGAUGGAUCCUUUUGAAGCUUGAUUACUUUGGAACAAGGAUCUGAGACCUGAGACGAAACCGUAUACCAACGUAUGUAGUAUAACACACACAUAUUCGCUUCCGACUCCAACUCAAGAUCACAGAGAUCCCGUCCGGCCUUCUCUUGCAAUACAUGCUGCCGGCGGCCGGCGCUCUCUGCUAUUCUUUGCUAUUAUUUGUAGACAACCAAUUACUUAAGCCUGCACGCACAUAGAGUAAUACGUAUUCUUGGAAUCGAUCGUGCCAAGAUCGGAUACCUGAACUGAAACGCACUUAUACAAUACGUACCCGAUUCUGACUCCAACAGUCCAACUCAA